ensembl:lncRNA
GGAAAGGAGAGAAAUGCUAAAGGAGAGACGUCCGAGGCGAAGCUCGUCACAGGACGGGGCGAUGCCCCCACGCGGCUCAGAGCUGGGCUUGCUUUGAUGCAUGGGGUCUCGUGGUUUGGAGUGGGGGCAUCGCGGGACUCAAACGACGUAAGAGGGGAAGAAACUUGGAGGAAAGAUGCUUUUGCCUGCAGGGAGAGGUCCCUGAGUCCCCAAAAGAAAUUGGGUCCUCGAAUCAACACAGACACAAAAGUUAAGGGCACCACAGCUGCCUUCCCCAGAUGGGGCUCCCUGCGCAAACGCCUCCUCCUCCUCCAAGAUUUUCCAACGCUGGCGAAGCUCCGCCCUCGCCAGAGCGGGGCUCUGGUCCUAGCCCUCAGCGCCCGCAGGAGCGGCGGCUGGGGGGCGGAGGGGAGUGGGCCCCGCCAUUGGUUGUGCAGCCGGAGGGGCGGAGGGAAGGCUCCAGUUGAGCUCGCCGCUCGCCCGUGCGCCCGGCCGCGCGCCGCACCCGAGCGCCCCACAUCCCCGCGGAAAGCUUCGCGGGCGCGGAUCGCCAAGACCCGGGAGCCGGCGAGGAGCUCGGCGCAGCACCGUCCCACCCGAGCGCAGGAGCUGGCGGGGGAGAUCCGCGCGUCCCGGCCCGCAGGCAAAGUGCUUUGAAGAGCUCACCACACACGUUCAUGGUUCUCACUAAAGAAGCCUCUUGUAAGUGUCAUUGGACAACUGAUACCCUGCUACCUUUGUUUGAAAACUGAGAGUUUUUCUUGUGCUGAUUUAACUGCCUGCAAUUUUUGCUGAUGCUCUUGUGACAAAAGGAAUGCUGAUUCUGUCCUUUUUAACCCCUGUGUGAAACUGACCUAAUAGACUGUGCAUUCUCUGACCUCUAAAGAUGUCUGAACCGGACUCUUCAUCUGCAUUCUCGGGAAAUGUGGAGAAUGGAACUUUCCUUGAGCUUUUUCCCACAUCCCUGUCCACAUCGGUGGACCCGUCCUCAGGCCAUCUGUCAAAUGUCUACAUCUAUGUGUCCAUAUUCCUCAGCCUUUUAGCCUUCCUGCUUCUGCUUUUAAUCAUUGCCCUCCAGAGGCUCAAAAAUAUCAUCUCCUCCAGUUCCUCCUACCCAGAGUAUCCAAGCGAUGCGGGAAGCUCUUUCACCAACUUGGAAGUCUGCAGCAUUUCCUCGCAAAGGUCCACUUUUUCAAACCUUUCGUCCUGAAGAAAAUGGAGAAGUCCUUCAGUCCCGGAGCUACUUAAGUCUUCCCUGGGGGGAGUGUUGCACGAAGCAGGUGCCUCAUGAGAGAAAUGCCCGUUUUGUCCUUUUCCAUCAAUCAGACCUGUUUCUCCCUCUCCUUCACCCCUGGUAUCUUUUUCUGCUCACGAUGCUUUUUAUUUGGGAAUGUAGGAGUCGAUGCUGACAGAAAUGCAUGCAAGGUGCAGAAUUUCACAUAAUCCACUGGGCGAAACUCGAGCUGGCUUCCUCUGGGUGGAUCAGGCCAGCCUAGUGGACACCUGAGGCAGAACUCACCUGGGGCGACCGUGCAGUGGAUGCUGGAUCUGGACUCUGCACGUUGUUUCUCUUCCGAAACUGUGAAAUCCACUGAGCCAGCAGAAACUGGCAAAAUUAAGACUGAGCUAUGUAGAAGAUAUUUUCAGUAUUUAAAGGAUAAAGUAG